rnacentral:rRNA from 1 species
ACGAACGCUGGCGGCGUGCUUAACACAUGCAAGUCGAACGGAAAGGCCCUGCUUUUGUGGGGUGCUCGAGUGGCGAACGGGUGAGUAACACGUGAGUAACCUGCCCUUGACUUUGGGAUAACUUCAGGAGACUGGGGCUAAUACCGGAUAGGAGCUCCUGCUGCAUGGUGGGGGUUGGAAAGUUUCGGCGGUUGGGGAUGGACUCGCGGCUUAUCAGCUUGUUGGUGGGGUAGUGGCUUACCAAGGCUUUGACGGGUAGCCGGCCUGAGAGGGUGACCGGCCACAUUGGGACUGAGAUACGGCCCAGACUCCUACGGGAGGCAGCAGUGGGGAAUAUUGCACAAUGGGCGGAAGCCUGAUGCAGCAACGCCGCGUGCGGGAUGACGGCCUUCGGAUUGUAAACCGCUUUCGCCUGUGACGAAGCGUGAGUGACGGUAAUGGGUAAAGAAGCACCGGCUAACUACGUG